GCUUACGGCCAUACCACUCUGAACACGCCCGAUCUCGUCCGAUCUCAGAAGCUAAGCAGGGCCGGGCCUGGUUAGUACUUGGAUGGGAGACCGCCUGGGAAUACCAGGUGCUGUAAGCU
rnacentral:rRNA from 1 species